CCUGUGGAGUUCAUGAGGUACCAUCACCACUGCGGGCAAGAUGCUCUCAUCUCCUUCCUGCUCAUUCCCCACCCCUGUCAGGUACCCCCUCUGAUAGUUGUCUUUUAAUGCACAGUUCCUUGGAAAAACAAAAUGAAUCUAUUUUAAAAUAAGAAAUCCAAACGAUUCUAAAAAUGCACAGCUUGCUGAGAUUUUACAAGCUGAACACACUCGUGUAAGCAGCACGCAGACCAAGAAACAAAAAUAUUAUCGCCCCCCACACAAGACCCUUCUUCUGCUCCUUACCAGUCAGAUGCACCCAAGAGUCACCACUAUGGUGACAUUUAAUCCCAAGGAUCAGUACGUCCUAGUCUUGCAUUUUAUACAAAUAGAAUCGUACAUUAUAUAUUCUUUCAUGUCUGCCUUCUUUCGCUCACCGUGGGUUGGAAGACUCAUCCAUGUUGUUGGGUGUCGUGGGCAGAAAUCUAAGAUCCCUCCCCCCGCACCCCGAGAUUCCUCAUCCUCUCCUAUUCACUUUCUCCCAAUUAUUCAAUCAAACGUGAAUCUAGGUGCUGCUGUGAAGGGAUUUUGUGAUGUCAUUAAGGCCCAAAUCAGUUGGCUUUAGGAUUGGGAGACUAUUCUCAGUGGGCCUGAUCACAUGAGCCCUUAAAAGGGACUAAGCUCUUCCUGGCGAAAGAGUUUUGAAGUAUGAGACAGAUGGACACGAGGGAAGCUCUUCCUCGUUGGCUUUGAGGACGGAGGAGUCCGCGUGGCAGGAGAUACAGGCGGCCUCUGAGGGCUCAGAAUGGCCCCUGGCUAACAGGCCACAAGGAAAUGGGGGACCUCGGUCCUCCAACUACAAAAAGACCCUGAAUUUUGCCAGCAACCUGAAUGAAAACUAGGAAGACGGUCCUGAGCCCCCGCCUGUGAGGUCCUCUGCCGAGAACCCAGAUCUCAGACCCUCACAGCUGUGAGCUGAGAAUGUCAUUUCUGGACUGGAGCGCGGCUUGAUAUCCCUUCUACUGUUGAUGGACCGCUGGAUGGCUCUCCAGGAACUUCUCAGUGUAUGCCUUUCUUGAAGAUGCGCAUGCCCAUCGGCUGGGUAUCAGUGUUCAGAAGUGAAACUGCUGGAUCACGGAAGGCUCAACUUUAGCGAUUGUUGGCAAACGGUUUUCUGAAGGGCCAUGUUAUUUUCUUGCGUAGCUAUUUUAUUCAAACUUGCCAUGACCUAAUAAGAAUUGGGCCCCACCCUACCUGACAGUAACAUUAACUAGCUAAUCUAAUAGCAAAAACAAAAAACCAACCAACCAACCAACAACAAAAACACUGAGCCAAGAGCCAAAAUUGCCAAGACAAAGUGACUACUUAACCCUGGGUAUGGACUCUUCUCAAUGGCCAGGCCACCUGCCGGAACCAGCAAGGAAGGCUGCUGCCAACUUUGACCACAGCUAGAACUCUGUGGUAGUAUUCUAGGUGCACUGUGUUUGGGCCACUUGAUACCCUGUAAAUUGAUGGCCAAUCAUCCCGUCUGCCUCUGCUGACACGGCUCUUCUCACCGUAACUGUGUCUAAAAUCCCACCGUCUUUGUUAAGUCGGGAAGUACCUUUAACAUACACACAAACACACACACACAGACGGCGGAGUCAGAGACCAAACCUCUCAAAACACGGAUGUCUGCAGCCCCCAUUGUUGCUAUUAAUACGGACCCAGGUUCCAUUUUAAGCCGAAUUUAUAUUCCGAUUGUGGGAUUGCAGCAAACACUCAGAAGGCCUUGCAAACAAAAGAGUAAACACAUGGAUAGCUGAUCACCCUGCCAGACUCAGCCAACACCAUUUUUAUGUCCUAAUUGCCAGGAUCGGGGGACAGCUGCGUCAUUGUUGAAAACACACACGCACGCACAAUUAAGCCAAGAACAAAUGUCAACACUGGCGCAGUCUGCUAAAUUACUGAUAACUGAUGGGCAUUACUCAUGCUGCGAGCAUUGUCUCCCAUAGAAAAUGGAAAGCUUCCUUUUUUAAAAAGACCUUAGAGAUGUCUAGUGGUUUAAGAGCGCCGGGGUGUGUACCGUAACGGCACAACUCAGCCUGCCCGAUUAUGUAAGUGACAUUCCACCCAUGUGCUCAAGGAGUUUGUGAUAAGUACAUGCUGUUCUGUGUCUCUUUAUAUUUGCGCUAACAAGGCGGGCUCCAGGAGGCUGCUUCUUGGUCUGGGGACAGCUUGGUCUGUGAUGAAGGUGUCUUGCAGCCACUGAGCAGAAAUGCCCAGUGAUAACCUCAUCAUCCAGAGAGCCUGGGCUCACCAGUGCAUGCUCCCAGUGCCGGCACUGGACUUCACUCCAUCCAUCUUGUCCUCAGGAAGUUAUUAUUACAUAAUAGAACUAUAAUUUAAACCCCUUGUUCAGUUCCCUCACAAAGGAUGAGGGGUCUUCAAAAUCACUCAUUAAAUCAGCCUGAACAAGGCUAUGAAGUCCGUUUUGGCCUUCACUUCUCCAACCUGAGAAACCUCCGCCUGUGGUCUUGGCACCACCUCCUGGGUAUUCCUCUCUGGCACCUGGCCCGAUUUACCCAGUUUGUUUCCAGAGGUGGAGACGUGCUUCUUGUUAUUAAUCCACAAUGGUUCCUGGAUCGUAGAGCAGGAAGACUCAUUCCCCACUUGAGAAUGUCACGCUCCCACAGGUAGACAGAAACAGCUAUCCUAUUUGUAAUGAGGUCACUCCAGACACACUUAGAUGACAAGGUGUCUUCUUUGCUCGCCUUAAAGGCCAAGCCCUGGGGUAGAAACACUGGGCUCAGGUUCUGCCCUUUGAGGAGCAGCUCUGACAAAUUCAGCUGAGAGAAUGUUUUCCAUUUCCAGCCCAGUGCAGGCUCCUCAACACAUUGGUGGUCUGUAUAAUAUUAAAAUUUCAAAAGAAUGCCCUA